UUCCUGGUUUUAAAGUACACUUUAACUGAAGGGAAGUCAUCAUUUGAACUUGAAACAAGCUCCAUGAAGAUAAUUAUAAUUAAAACAUAGAAUAAUUUGCAGGUAUAUAAUUUCAGUUUGAAAAAAAUGCUAUCAGAUAUUUUUAAUGGCCUCAGAAAGUCUACAGAACAGGAAGAGUAACAGCUAUUCUGACUCAAGUUUUCUGCAAAUGUGACUUCAUUGAUCAUGAGGAAGUACCUGCAAGCCUGACACUGGAAGAUUAUUAAAAUUGCUUUUAUUAAUUAACCCUUAUUAAACAAUUCAAAUACCAGCUCAAACAUCACCUGAGAAAUUUGAGAAACUAAAUUAAGCUGUCUAGAACUCAGGGGCCUAUGCUUCCAAAUUCACAAAUGAUCAGUUAAGUGCUACACAAAUGGAACCAAAUUAGAAUACAGAAAAAACUGAAAACCCAAAAAUAAUUUGGUGAAGAACUAGAAAAUCUUCAUCAGUCACAAAACACAUAUAAUAAUCUUACUCAUACUAUAAUAACCUUGCCUCAUCCCCACUCUAGACACACUACUUCUUUUUCUGUAGCCUUCACAGUUUUUCAGGUUCUGGAGACUUCAGCAGAUUGCUACACUAUAAACACUCCCCUUUUGGACUUUGGGCUAGGUCAUUGAACAUUUCUAGUGCCUUCAUCUUUCCCCAGUGAAUCAAGAUUAAGCAAGUUAAUCAAGGUGCAGGAGGAGAAAAUGGGACAGUGGUCAGACAUUCAAUCUCACAGAGGCAACAGCUGGGACCUUUCAUAGCAGUGGUCUUAGAAAACUCACUUGCUGAAAAACAAGUUAUAGGCUUAGAAAGGAAUUCUGAACAGUAGGGAUAUGUUUCAUCUGGACAAGGCAAGAUAACUCCAACAGGCAAGCCAAUGGGAGGACCAAGCUGUUUUCAGCAGAAGGACAGUGGAGACCAGGCUGUUACCAGCAGCAGGAAAUGGAGAGCAAACUGUUAUCAGCAGCCAGACCAGGCCGUUGGCAGCGGGGGAAGGAUAUGAAGCCCAGCUGCCCUCAGCAGAAGGAUGAGAGGCCCAGACUGUUAUCAACACUGACCAUUUGCAGAAGAAAGGAAACCAAACUCAAAAUAAUGCUGACCAGCUAGAAUAAUGAUGACCAGCAAAAAAAUUGCUGAUCAGCAGAAAUAAAAACCAUACAGAGCAUGUUCUAAGAAGGCAGAACCAGGGAGGGGACAUGCUUUGAAUAUGCAUUAAACCCUCACAGCAGGAUGGGUUAAAAAGUGUGUUCCCAAGAUACCAGAUGUGCUCUUGGCAGCACGCCAAGGCACCCGGCUAUAACUCUUUGCUUUAUUUUAUGUCAGUUAUUGUCUUUAUUAAACCUUUUUUUAAAAUUUUA